rnacentral:pre_miRNA from 1 species
CAGCGUGCAGUGCCCUACCCAGAAUGGUGCCGAAUACUUAGUGUACAUGUAUUCGGCACCUUCUGGGUAGCGUAAUGCUCAACACGAACGACGUU